rnacentral:rRNA from 1 species
GAUGAACGCUAGCGGGAGGCCUAACACAUGCAAGCCGGGCGGUAUUGUUUCUUCGGAAAUGCGAGAGCGGCGUACGGGUGCGUAACACGUGUGCAACCUGCCUUUAUCUGGGGGAUAGCCUUUCGAAAGGAAGAUUAAUACUCCAUAAUAUAUUGAACGGCAUCGUUUAAUAUUGAAAGCUCCGGCGGAUAGAGAUGGGCACGCGCAAGAUUAGCUAGUUGGUGAGGUAACGGCUCACCAAGGCGAUGAUCUUUAGGGGGCCUGAGAGGGUGAUCCCCCACACUGGUACUGAGACACGGACCAGACUCCUACGGGAGGCAGCAGUGAGGAAUAUUGGUCAAUGGGUGCAAGCCUGAACCAGCCAUCCCGCGUGAAGGACGACUGCCCUAUGGGUUGUAAACUUCUUUUGUAUAGGGAUAAACCUACCCUCGUGAGGGUAGCUGAAGGUACUAUACGAAUAAGCACCGGCUAACUCCGUG